rnacentral:rRNA from 1 species
CAGAGGGUGCGAGCGUUAAUCGGAAUUACUGGGCGUAAAGCGCACGUAGGCGGCUUUGCAAGUCGGGUGUGAAAUCCCCGGGCUCAACCUGGGAACUGCAUCCGAGACUGCCUAGCUAGAGUAUGGGAGAGGGAAGCGGAAUUUCCGGUGUAGCGGUGAAAUGCGUAGAUAUCGGAAGGAACACCAGUGGCGAAAGCGGCUUCCUGGACCAAUACUGACGCUGAUGUGCGAAAGCGUGGGGAGCAAACAGGAUUAGAUACCCUGGUAGUCCACGCCAUAAACGAUGAGAACUGGAUGUCGGAAGGGUUUGCCUUUCGGUGUCGUAGCUAACGCGUUAAGUUCUCCGCCUGGGGAGUACGGCCGCAAGGUUG